GUGUCAGCCGCCGCGGUAAGACGAACCGUGCAAACGUUGUUCGGAUUCACUGGGCUUAAAGGGCGCGUAGGCGGGCCAUCAAGUCAGGGGUGAAAUCUUUCGGCUCAACCGGAAAAGUGCCUUUGAUACUGGUGGUCUCGAGGGAGGUAGGGGCAUGCGGAACUUCCGGUGGAGCGGUGAAAUGCGUAGAUAUCGGAAGGAACGCCGGUGGCGAAAGCGGCGUGCUGGACCUCUUCUGACGCUGAGGCGCGAAAGCUAGGGGAGCAAACGGGAUUAGAAACCCGAGUAGUCC
rnacentral:rRNA from 1 species